rnacentral:rRNA from 1 species
UACGGAGGGUGCAAACGUUGCUCGGAAUCAUUGGGCGUAAAGCGCACGUAGGCGGCCUCGCAAGUUGGAUGUGAAAGCCCCGGGCUCAACCCGGGAAGUGCAUCCAAAACUGCGUGGCUUGAGUUCCGGAGGGGCCCAGGGAAUUCCCGGUGUAGAGGUGAAAUUCGUAGAUAUCGGGAGGAACACCAGUGGCGAAGGCGCUGGGCUGGACGGACACUGACGCUGAGGUGCGAAAGCGUGGGGAGCAAACAGG